GACGAACGCUGGCGGCGUGCUUAACACAUGCAAGUCGAGCGGAAAGGCCCUGCUUUUGUGGGGUGCUCGAGUGGCGAACGGGUGAGUAACACGUGAGUAACCUGCCCUUGACUUUGGGAUAACUUCAGGAAACUGGGGCUAAUACCGGAUAGGAGCUCCUGCUGCAUGGUGGGGGUUGGAAAGUUUCGGCGGUUGGGGAUGGACUCGCGGCUUAUCAGCUUGUUGGUGGGGUAGUGGCUUACCAAGGCUUUGACGGGUAGCCGGCCUGAGAGGGUGACCGGCCACAUUGGGACUGAGAUACGGCCCAGACUCCUACGGGAGGCAGCAGUGGGGAAUAUUGCACAAUGGGCGGAAGCCUGAUGCAGCAACGCCGCGUGCGGGAUGACGGCCUUCGGGUUGUAAACCGCUUUCGCCUGUGACGAAGCGUGAGUGGCGGUAAUGGGUAAAGAAGCACCGGCUAACUACGUG
rnacentral:rRNA from 1 species